rnacentral:rRNA from 1 species
GAAAGUGAAUAAGUGCACAUGGUGGAUGCCUUGGCGAUUACAGGCGAUGAAGGACGUUGUAGCCUGCGAUAAGCUGCGGGGAGCUGGCAAACAAGCUUUGAUCCGCAGAUUUCCGAAUGGGGAAACCCGGCCGUAAGGUCAUCACACACUGAAUACAUAGGUGUGUGAAGCGAACGUGGCGAACUGAAACAUCUAAGUAGCUACAGGAAAAGAAAUCAACCGAGAUUCCCAAAGUAGUGGCGAGCGAAAUGGGAACAGCCUGCAAGAUCUAGCAUCAGUGAUAGUGGAACGCUCUGGAAAGUGCGGCCAUAGAGGGUGAUAGCCCCGUACACGAAAUCUCUGGUGUGGAACUAAGCUUGCGACAAGUAGGGCGGGACACGUGUAAUCCUGUCUGAACAUGGGGGGACCAUCCUCCAAGGCUAAAUACUCGUAAUCGACCGAUAGUGAACCAGUACCGUGAGGGAAAGGCGAAAAGAACCCCGGGAGGGGAGUGAAAUAGAACCUGAAACCGUGUGCAUACAAACAGUCGGAGCCUCGUAAGGGGUGACGGCGUACCUUUUGUAUAAUGGGUCAGCGACUUACAUUCAGUGGCGAGGUUAACCGAAUAGGGAAGCCGUAGCGAAAGCGAGUCCGAACAGGGCGAUUCAGUCGCUGGGUGUAGACCCGAAACCAAGUGAUCUACUCAUGGCCAGGAUGAAGGUGCCGUAACAGGUACUGGAGGUCCGAACCCACUAAUGUUGAAAAAUUAGGGGAUGAGCUGUGGGUAGGGGUGAAAGGCUAAACAAACUUGGAAAUAGCUGGUUCUCUCCGAAAACUAUUUAGGUAGUGCCUCAAGUAUCACCAUCGGGGGUAGAGCACUGUAAUGGCUAGGGGGUCAUCGCGACUUACCAAACCAUAGCAAACUCCGAAUACCGAUGAGUGCGAGCUUGGGAGACAGACGUCGGGUGCUAACGUCCGGCGUCAAGAGGGAAACAACCCAGACCGCCAGCUAAGGUCCCAAAGAUUGGCUAAGUGGAAAACGAAGUGGGAAGGCUAAAACAGUCAGGAGGUUGGCUUAGAAGCAGCCACCCUUUAAAGAAAGCGUAAUAGCUCACUGAUCGAGUCGUCCUGCGCGGAAGAUGUAACGGGGCUAAGCCAGUCACCGAAGCUGCGGAUAUGCGUAAGCAUAUGGUAGGAGAGCGUUCUGUAAGCCUGCGAAGGUGUCUUGUAAAGGAUGCUGGAGGUAUCAGAAGUGCGAAUGCUGACAUGAGUAGCGAUAAUGCGGGUGAAAAGCCCGCACGCCGUAAGCCCAAGGUUUCCUGUUCAACGUUCAUCGGAGCAGGGUGAGUCGGCCCCUAAGGCGAGGCAGAGAUGCGUAGCUGAUGGGAAGCAGGUUAAUAUUCCUGCACCGUCGUUAGAUGCGAUGGGGGGACGGAUCGCGGAAGGUUGUCCGGGUGUUGGAUGUCCCGGUUCUUGACCUGGAGAAGGCUGUUAGGCAAAUCCGGCAGCGUAAUUCAAGGGGUUGAGACGAGCGAGCUUGCUCGCGAAGCAAUCGGAAGUGGUUCCAAGAAAAGCCUCUAAGCUUCAGUCUAACGAGACCGUACCGCAAACCGACACAGGUGGGCGAGAUGAGUAUUCUAAGGCGCUUGAGAGAACUCAGGAGAAGGAACUCGGCAAAUUGGUACCGUAACUUCGGGAUAAGGUACGCCCAAGUAGCUUAACUGUGAACAACAGAAGGGCAAAAGGGUUGCAAUAAAAUGGUGGCUGCGACUGUUUAAUAAAAACACAGCACUCUGCAAACACGAAAGUGGACGUAUAGGGUGUGACGCCUGCCCGGUGCUGGAAGAUUAAAUGAUGGGGUGCAAGCUCUUGAUUGAAGUCCCAGUAAACGGCGGCCGUAACUAUAACGGUCCUAAGGUAGCGAAAUUCCUUGUCGG